UUUCAACACUAGGGGAGCUAUGUAAAGUAGCUGAGAAGAGCGUAGGAAUCGUUUUGACCCUUCGUACCCGAACAGGAUAAUGCCUGCGUGGGAAAGUGUGGUCAAUAGGGA
rfam:Virgibacillus massiliensis genome assembly, contig: 000001